UAUUUUUAUUUCUUGUUUAUAUAAAUUUUAUAAUAAAAAUAUAAGAAAAAUAAUUUUGUUUUUUACUUAAAAGUAAAUUUUAUUGAAUUUNAAAUUAAGCUAUAGAGAAAAGUACUGUAAAGGAAAGUUUAAAAAAUUAAGAUAGUAAAAUUAUUUUGUACCUUGUGUAUCAGGAAAAAUUUAUAUAAUUUAAAAAUAAUUCAUAUUCUCGAAAUAAAAUAUAGCUAACUUUAUAGUUUUUUUUUGUAGAAAAUAAAUUUAAAAUAUAAAGUUAAAGGUGAAAUGCUAAUCGGGUUUUAUAAUAUCUAGUUUUUUGAAAAAUAAAUUAAAUUUUACUUUUAUAAAAAUUUUUAUAAAAAGUAAUUGUAGGAGGGAUUAGCUUCUUAUAACCAGAAUCUUAAAGAGUAAAAUAUAUUAAAAUAUAAUGAGUUAAGUUUAAAAGUAACUAUACUAAAAAAGUGUUAAAACUAAAUUAAUAAUUAAUAAUUAUUUAUUUAUACUUUUAUAAAAUAUCAAAAAAUUAAUUAAAGUUUUGUAAAUAAAGCAAAAAUGAUUUUAUUAGUAAAAAUUUAUUAUAAAUAAUUUUAUUAAAAUAUUAAUUAUUUUUUAAAUUUAUAUUGAUAGUUUAAAGGAACUCGGCAAAAUUUAUUUCUUUGCCUGUUUAUCAAAAACAUGUCUAUUUGAAGUUAUAAAAAGUUUAACCUGCCCACUGAUCUUAAAUAAAAUUAAAUGGCCGCGGUAUAUUGACCGUGCGAAGGUAGCAUAAUCGUUAGUUUUUUAAUUGGAAUCUUGUAUGAAUGGUUGGACAAAAGAAAAUCUGUCUUUAUACUGUUAUUUUAACUUAACUUUUAAGUGAAAAGGCUUAAAUGUAUUAAAGGGACGAUAAGACCCUAUAAAGCUUAAUAUUUACUUUUAUCAAGUUAAAUUUUAUUAAUAAAAGUUUGGUAAAAUCUAUUUAUUUUAUUGGGGCGAUAAAAGUAUAAUUUUUAUUAACUGCUUAGAUUUAUAUUCAUUUAUCUAUGAUUAAUAAUUAAGUGAUCCUUAUUAGAGAUUAAAAGUUUAAGUUACUUUAGGGAUAACAGCGUUAUUUUUUUUGAGAGUACCUAUCGAAAAAAAAGUUUGCGACCUCGAUGUUGAAUUAAAAUUUCUU
rnacentral:rRNA from 1 species